GAGUUUGAUCCUGGCUCAGGAUGAACGCUAGCGAUGUGCUUUAAGCAUGCAAGUGGGACGGGUCCCGCAAGGGACCAGUCGCGAACGGCUGAGUAUAAGAUAGGAAUCUACCUCUUGGUGGGGAAUACCUCGUCGAAAGACGAGCUAAUACCGCAUAAGAAUCUAAUUGAAAGCGAUUAACUUCGCGCCGAGAGAGGAGCCUAUCUCCCAUCAGCUUGUUGGUAGGGUAAUGGCCUACCAAGGCUACGACGGGUAGGGGGCGUGAGAGCGUGACCCUCCAGAACAGGACUGAGACACGGCCUGUACACCUACGGGUGGCAGCAACUGGGAAUCGUGCACAAUGGACGAAAGUCUGAUGCCGCGACAUCGCGUGAAGGAUGAAGGCCUUAGGGUCGUAAACUUCUUUUGCCAUAUGAGAAAUCAUAUGGAGAAUAAGCACUUGCUAACUCUGUGCCAGCAGUCGCGGUGAUACAGAGAGUGCAAGCGUUAUCCGGAUUUACUGGGCGUAAAGCGUUUCGUAGGCGACUUAAUAAGUUAUUCUUCAAAGACCGGAGCCCAACUUCGGAAAGGGGAGUAAUACUAUUAGGAUUGAAAUAUUUCGGGGUUACUGGAACUAUCGGUGUAGGGGUGAAAUCCGUUGAUAUCGAUAGGAACACCAAGGGCGAAGGCAGGUAACUAGGAAUCAUUUGACGCUGAGGAACGACAGCUAGGGGAGUGAAAGGGAUUAGAGACCCCUGUAAUCCUAGCCGUAAACUAUGUCCGCUAGCUCGUGGGCCUUUGGCUCAUGGGCGCAAGCUAACGCAUGAAGCGGACCGCCUGGGGAGUACGAUCGCAAGAUUAAAACUCAAAGGAAUUGACGGGAACCUGCACAACCAGUGGAGCAUGUGGUUUAAUUCGAGACGAACCGAAGAACCUUACCCGGGUUUGACAUUCUAUCGUUUUAGGUCACUAGAAAUAGAGAUUGAUCUUUUAGAAAUAAAAGAUGAUAGAACAGGUGUUGCAUGGCCGUCGUCAGCUCGUGUCGUGGGAUGUUCCCUUCAGUGGGGUAACGAGCGCAACCCCUAUCAAAUGUUGAAUUGUUCAUUUGAGACUCUUGUUAUUUUUAACGAGGGAAGUGGGGACGACGUCAGGUCAGCAUGGCCCUUAUGUCCGGGGCUACACACAUGCUACAAUGGAGCCGACAAUGGGUUGCCAAGCUGUAAGGCGGAGCUAAUCCCAUCAAACGGCUUCUCAGUGGGGAUUGAGGGCUGCAACUUGCCCUCAUGAACGUGGAAUUGGUAGUAAUCGGAGGUCAGCUAUACUCCGGUGAAUACGUUCUCAGGUUUUGCACACAC
rnacentral:rRNA from 1 species